rnacentral:rRNA from 1 species
GACGAACGCUGGCGGCGUGCUUAACACAUGCAAGUCGAACGGAAAGGCCCUGCUUUUGUGGGGUGCUCGAGUGGCGAACGGGUGAGUAACACGUGAGUAACCUGCCCUUGACUUGGGGAUAACUUCAGGAAACUGGGGCUAAUACCGGAUAGGAGCUCCUGCUGCAUGGUGGGGGUUGGAAAGUUUCGGCGGUUGGGGAUGGACUCGCGGCUUAUCAGCUUGUUGGUGGGGUAGUGGCUUACCAAGGCUUUGACGGGUAGCCGGCCUGAGAGGGUGACCGGCCACAUUGGGACUGAGAUACGGCCCAGACUCCUACGGGAGGCAGCAGUGGGGAAUAUUGCACAAUGGGCGGAAGCCUGAUGCAGCAACGCCGCGUGCGGGAUGACGGCCUUCGGGUUGUAAACCGCUUUCGCCUGUGACGAAGCGUGAGUGACGGUAAUGGGUAAAGAAGCACCGGCUAACUACGUG